CUGGGAGAUCUAGGAAACAGAUGGGAAAUGGGGACAGAGGGAAGGCGCUAACUUGGGUGGAAAGUUUGCCCCGGAGAACUCCCACGGCUCUGUCCUCCCCUCCCCCCUCUUCGCCCUCUGUCGCCCAGCCUAGAGGAGAAGGCUGCUUAGCAGGGAAAUGGAGAGCUGGAACUAGAAACUUUCUGUCAGUGUAACGUCCGCGUGGGUGGUGACCCAAUGGUGGUUGGGCUUCGAGUCACGUGACAGCCUCAUUGUGGCUCCGGAACAGAACGUGAAGUUUAGGUUGCCUGGAAGAAGCAGUAAUAAGCUAAAUUUUUUGGUUGGCUUGAUGAGACUGAAAGGGAGAAUCAAAAAAAAAAUCAAGAUUUGGGGGAAUUACCCACAGAGAUGCAAGCAAAGUCUAGCAGGUCUUGGACCCAAGCCGGACUGAAAAGCAAGUUCAUCUGGGACCCUGCCCUCCAAGAAGAUCAUAGCAGCCUUAGACAGAAAAUUCCUGAAGAUUUUUAACCUCAGAGGCAGUGGAACCAGGCUUCAUCCAUCUAUGUCCCAUCUGAAGGUACCUUCACCUCCAGUCUUGGCUCAGGCAGGCCUGGGACCAAGAAGCCAGAGGCCCCUAUGGAGCAUCCAAAUGGACCAUGACUGUUUAGAGUUCCCAGGCAAGACCGGUUGGUGCUAUGGCCAUUUGGUGUGGGACCUCCCCUGUCCUUUCCACAAGUCUGUUUUUGUUUUUGUUUUGUUUGUUUGUUUUUUGUUUUUUAUUUCUCAGGAUAAAAAAGAAAAAGAAAAAAGAAAAAAACCUGUGCAGCUGCUGGAAUCUCUUUUCUACUGAGAUGGGAGGAAUUAUUCAGGAUGACAGAGUCACAAAAAAAUCUGAACAGUAUUCGUCUCUGGAUUCAAAAGGGGAGGCUGUUUACUGAGGUUCCCAACAGCAAAAAAAUAAAAUAAAAUAAAAUAAAAUUGUGGUCACUAUUUUAACACAGCCUUUUGAAAGCUCACUGUGUCAGGGGAUUUUGAAUUUGUUCCUAGAUUUCUGACCAUAUCUCCCCUUUUCUCUGUGUCGUCUCCAGCCCUCUAUGAAUAAUUCCCUAAAACCUCCAGACUGAUCCUCGCUGAGUCAUGUGCUUUGGGCAAAACUUAAAAUACCAUUCGGCCCAGCUGGUUUUAUUUUGAUAAAAAUAAAAUGAAAGGACUUCAGGUGGGGUGAGCCCCUCCCACACGCAAACGCGCUUGCUGCCCUUAUGACACAGAUCCGUACUUAAAAGGGAGCUGGUGUAGCCUUGAGUUCCAAUUGGUUUCUGGGAAAUUUUUGUUUCUGGAAAUACACAUGGGUCUGCAAAGCAGCAGGUCCUUCCAGGGAGGACUGGAGUUCAAUUGACCAGGCUGACCCAAUCCUUUUAUUAUUAUUACCAUUAGCCUCUGAUGAUUUAACCAAAAUUAGCUUCGGAGCAGCCCUGGCUGAAAGGGAGAAUUAAUUAACCGACAUCAGUUGAGUUUGUUAUUAAUAGAUAGAGAAGAGAAUGAAAUAAAAACCUUGGAGGGGGGUAGCUGGCUGGGCCCUGGCUUUAUUUAGUCUAGAUGAUUGUUACAGCAAUAACGAUGAUGAUGGUAAUAAUAAUAAUAAUAAUAACAACAAGAAGAAGAAAUAAAAACCCAGUAAUUUGACUAGGCGCCUGGGGCCGAAAUUCCUGUCGCUCCCCCAGCAGUAAGCCCCAAACCAUCGCAGGACAGAGGCCAGGCGAGUGUGGGAAGCGAAGGAGCCAGAGACUUGAUAGGAAAGAGGAGACUCCUCUGGCGGUGAGACAAGGCCAGGAAGGUUUGUGGAUUCGGAGAGCCUCCAGCUGCCGCUGCUGGCGGGCUGUCUGGCCGCUGCGGCGGCGGUGGCUGGCGAGGAGCUACCAGCCUCCUGCUCAAGGCUCAAGGAGAUGAGGAGAAACCGACCCGGACGCCGAACUGGUUAGCCGCGGCAGGUUCCAAGCACACCGGGCUGGGCCCGGGCCGAGCUCCGCGGCAGCAAGUUUGGCGCUGGAGGUAACCGAAUUAAAAGGCGCCUUAGCAACUCUGCUCCGGGACUUUGCCUAACAGGGCUCCAGGCUGGAAGGCACAGAGGCCUGGCGCAAUGGGACAGUAAGGAACCCGAAGGUGCCACAGGGAUCAGAAAUCUGGGAUCCAGAAGAGGGGGUGGGGAACAGCUCUACCCAGCCAAACAAGUCUAUUUCCCUUGCCUCCAUGUUGGAAAAAUUCAGGCUCCAUAUGGCUUCUCGGAAGGGUGGGAAGGAGACAGUGGCUCCGGGCUUUCCCUCAGGGUCUCGCUAGAGAAGGGAGGCAAGCCCCCCCUCCAGAACCCCACCUUUCCAGGCACACUCCUGGGGAGAGCCGGGAAGGGUAACAAUAGCUGAAGAAACCUCAGGAGAGAGGACAGGCCACCUUCCAGGACUUUAAAAAAAAUAAUGAAAGGAAGAAAAAUAAAAGGAUUAAGAAAGGGAAAGAGAAAGGUUUGGCUCUUCUUAGCAAACGGGGGAGAGAGGAUUCCGCCCUGGAUCAGGCUGCU